rnacentral:tRNA from 1 species
AGGCCAGUAGCUCAGUUGGUAGAGCAGCGGAUUCCAAAUCCGCUGGUCGGGGGUUCGAGUCCCUCCUGGCCUGCCA